rnacentral:rRNA from 1 species
UACGAAGGACCCGAGCGUUAUCCGGAUUCAUUGGGUUUAAAGGGUGCGUAGGCGGGCCCGUAAGUCAGUGGUGAAAGCCCUUCGCUUAACGAAGGAAUUGCCAUUGAUACUGCGGGUCUUGAGUACAGUUGAGGUUGGCGGAAUGUGUCAUGUAGCGGUGAAAUGCUUAGAUAUGACACAGAACACCGAUUGCGAAGGCAGCUAGCUAAACUGUAACUGACGCUGAGGCACGAAAGCGUGGGUAGCAAACAGG